rnacentral:siRNA from 1 species
UACACAAUGGUGUGCGAAAUGAUG